AACGAACGCUGGCGGCAUGCCUAACACAUGCAAGUCGAACGAAGCCUUCGGGCUUAGUGGCGCACGGGUGCGUAACGCGUGGGAAUCUGCCCUUGGGUUCGGAAUAACAGUUAGAAAUGACUGCUAAUACCGGAUGAUGUCUUCGGACCAAAGAUUUAUCGCCCAAGGAUGAGCCCGCGUAGGAUUAGGUAGUUGGUGGGGUAAUGGCCCACCAAGCCGACGAUCCUUAGCUGGUCCGAGAGGAUGAUCAGCCACACUGGGACUGAGACACGGCCCAGACUCCUACGGGAGGCAGCAGUGGGGAAUAUUGGACAAUGGGCGAAAGCCUGAUCCAGCUAUGCCGCGUGAGUGAUGAAGGCCUUAGGGUUGUAAGGCUCUUUUACCAGGGAUGAUAAUGACAGUACCUGGAGAAUAAGCUCCGGCUAACUCCGUGCCAGCCGCCGCCGUAAUAC
rnacentral:rRNA from 1 species